rnacentral:rRNA from 1 species
AUUGUGUGAAUACAUAGCACAUUCGAGGUAGACGCAGAGAACUGAAACAUCUAAGUACCUGCAGGAAGAGAAAGAAAAUUCGAUUCCCUGAGUAGCGGCGAGCGAAACGGGAAAAGCCCAAACCAGCAAGCUUGCUUGUUGGGGUUGUAGGACUCCAAUAUGGUAGUUCUUUCAGAUAGUCGAAUGACUUGGAAAAGUCAGUCAAAGAGGGUAAAAACCCCGUAGACGAAAUGUGGAAGACACCUAGGAGGAUCCUGAGUACGGCGGAACACGAGAAAUUCCGUCGGAAUCCGGGAGGACCAUCUCCCAAGGCUAAAUACUCCCUAGUGACCGAUAGUGAACCAGUACCGUGAGGGAAAGGUGAAAAGCACCCCGGAAGGGGAGUGAAAUAGAACCUGAAACCGUGUGCCUACAACAAGUCAAAGCCCGUUAAUGGGUGAUGGCGUGCCUUUUGUAGAAUGAACCGGCGAGUUACGAUUGCAUGCGAGGUUAAGUUGAAGAGACGGAGCCGCAGCGAAAGCGAGUCUGAAUAGGGCGUUUGAGUAUGUAGUCGUAGACCCGAAACCAUGUGAUCUACCCAUGUCCAGGUUGAAGGUGCGGUAAAACGCACUGGAGGACCGAACCCACGUACGUUGAAAAGUGCGGGGAUGAGGUGUGGGUAGCGGAGAAAUUCCAAACGAACUUGGAGAUAGCUGGUUCUCUCCGAAAUAGCUUUAGGGCUAGCCUCGGAAUUGAGAAUGAUGGAGGUAGAGCACUGUUUGGACUAGGGGCCCAUCUCGGGUUACCGAAUUCAGAUAAACUCCGAAUGCCAUUCAUUCAUAUCCGGGAGUCAGACUGUGAGUGAUAAGAUCCAUAGUCGAAAGGGAAACAGCCCAGACCACCAGCUAAGGUCCCAAAAUAUAUGUUAAGUGGAAAAGGAUGUGGGGUUGCACAGACAACUAGGAUGUUGGCUUAGAAGCAGCCACCAUUUAAAGAGUGCGUAAUAGCUCACUAGUCG